ensembl:lncRNA
CGGGGCUCGGAGGUGUCAGUGAAGCGGCAGCGCGAGCGAGGCUGUUUGUACUGAGCAGCAGCAUCAGCAUCGCGCGAUGAUGGCACGGUGAUCGCGCGCGCACGGACGGACGGGCUGCACGUGAGCGCGCUCUCCUCCUCGCGGGUCCUUUGCGAACGCACGCGCACGCACGCACACAUACAUACGCACUAGCGCGCGUACAUACACACCUGAGCGGAGCUACCGGAGACAGAACCGCAGCGCGCGCCCUCCUCUCUCUCUCCCUCUCUCUCUCGCGCUCUGCACUGCUCGUGCACGCGGCCCUGCGCAAUGGCGCUCACCAUCUGCACGAGAUUCACGGAUGAGUACCAGCUGUUCGAGGAGCUCGGCAAGGGGGCAUUUUCAGUGGUCCGACGGUGUGUGAAGAUUUCCUCUGGUCAGGAGUAUGCUGCCAAAAUCAUCAACACCAAGAAACUCUCAGCCAGAGAUCACCAGAAACUGGAGAGAGAAGCCCGGAUCUGCCGGCUCCUCAAACACCCCAACAUCGUUCGCCUGCAUGACAGCAUUUCUGAGGAGGGCUUCCAUUACCUGGUGUUUGAUCUGGUCACUGGAGGAGAGCUGUUUGAAGAUAUUGUAGCAAGAGAGUACUACAGUGAAGCUGAUCCUGAGAAUCUGCUGUUGGCGAGUAAGCUGAAGGGGGCAGCGGUGAAGCUUGCUGAUUUUGGUUUGGCUAUCGAAGUGCAGGGGGAGCAGCAGGCAUGGUUUGGUUUUGCUGGAACUCCAGGAUAUUUGUCUCCGGAGGUUCUGAGGAAAGAUCCUUAUGGAAAACCAGUGGAUAUGUGGGCCUGUGGUGUAAUCCUGUAUAUCCUGCUAGUGGGGUAUCCUCCAUUCUGGGAUGAGGAUCAGCAUCGUCUCUAUCAGCAGAUCAAGGCUGGAGCGUAUGACGUGUGUACACACACACACACACACACACACACACACACACUCACUUCAGAUCAGGACAUGUUAUUGAAGUGUUUUAUCUAUAAAAGGACCAGCCCCAAAGACACAGGCCCCGCCCCAGCACUGGUAUCCACAGCAACAAGCUCCUCGACCCCACCCCCUGCAUGGCACUUCUUACCAACACCAUGUGUGGUGACUUUUCUGAGGGACAUUAAAAUCAGUGAUUUACUGCUUUAUUUUCUCAGUGUUAAAAGGUACACUAACUCCAUAUCAGUGGAUUCCAUAUUAACCACUAAGCAACACCAGAUCAUAUUUUGUGUGUGUUUUGCAGCACGAAAGCAGGAGAUCAUCAAAGUUACUGAGCAGCUCAUCGAGUCUAUCAACAAUGGGGACUUUGAAGCUUAUUCUAAAAUCUGUGACCCCGGUCUGACGUCCUUUGAGCCUGAAGCCCUGGGGAACCUGGUGGAAGGUCAUGAUUUCCACCGGUUCUACUUUGAAAACGGUCUGUCUAAAGGGAAUAAGCCGGUCCACACAAUCCUGCUGAACCCCCACGUGCACCUGAUCGGAGAGGACGCCGCCUGCAUCGCCUACAUCCGCCUGACGCAGUACAUGGACGGCAGCGGCCGGCCUCGCACCAUGCAGUCGGAGGAGACGCGCGUCUGGCACCGCCGUGAGGGGAAGUGGCAGAACAUCCACUUCCACCGCUCCGGCUCCCCCAGCGUACCCCUCAAGUAA